rnacentral:rRNA from 1 species
GGAAUCUUGCGCAAUGGGCGAAAGCCUGACGCAGCAACGCCGCGUGCGGGAAGAAGGCUUUCGGGCUGUAAACCGCUUUCAGUAGGAACGAAACUGACGGUACCUACAGAAGAAGGAGCGGCCAACUAUGUGCCAGCAGCCGCGGUGACACAUAGGCUCCAAGCGUUGUCCGGAUUUAUUGGGCGUAAAGAGCUCGUAGGCGGUUGAGUAAGUCGGGUGUGAAAACUUUGGGCUUAACCCAAAGAUGCCACUCGAUACUGCUUUGACUUGAGUUCGGUAGGGGAGUGGGGAAUUCCUUGUGUAGCGGUGAAAUGCGCAGAUAUAAGGAGGAACACCGGUGGCGAAGGCGCCACUCUGGGCCGAUACUGACGCUGAGGAGCGAAAGCGUGGGGAGCAAACAGGAUUAGAUACCCUGGUAGUCCACGCGGUAAACGGUGGUCACUAGGUGUGGGUCUCUUCAAACGAGAUCUGCGCCGUCGCUAACGCAUUAAGUGACCCGCCUGGGGAGUACGGUCGCAAGACUAAAACUCAAAUGAAUUGACGG